UCCUGAACUAGCAUUGGUACCACCUCCAUGAUCUCCUAUCCCCGAUGACUGAAAUUGUUGCAGCAGAGUCACCAACUGGUUGUACUCUUCCUUGGUAAGGCUCACAUUCUGAGAAUUGUCAUGACUAACAUAUUUAUCAUUUUUUGCAGGUUGAGAUUCAGUGGCUGCCACAUGUGCAUUGGCUAGGGUCAUAAUGCCUCUGUUAAAC
rnacentral:lncRNA from 1 species